rnacentral:rRNA from 2 species
UUAAAUUGAAGAGUUUGAUCAUGGCUCAGAUUGAACGCUGGCGGCAGGCCUAACACAUGCAAGUCGAACGGUAACAGGAAGAAGCUUGCUUCUUUGCUGACGAGUGGCGGACGGGUGAGUAAUGUCUGGGAAACUGCCUGAUGGAGGGGG